AUUGAACGCUGGCGGAAUGCUUUACACAUGCAAGUCGAGCGGCAGCGCGGGGCAACCUGGCGGCGAGCGGCGAACGGGUGAGUAAUGCAUCGGCACAUGUCCAGUCGUGGGGGAUAGCCCGCCGACAGGCGGAUUAAUACCGCAUACGCCCGGGAGGGGAAGGCGGGGGACCUGCAAGGGCCUCGCGCGAUUGGGUUUGCCGGUGUCCGAUUAGCUAGUUGGUGGGGUAAAGGCCACCAAGGCGAUGAUCGGUAGCUGGUCUGAGAGGAUGAUCAGCCACACUGGGACUGAGACACGGCCCAGACUCCUACGGGAGGCAGCAGUGGGGAAUUUUGGACAAUGGGGGCAACCCUGAUCCAGCCAUUCCGCGUGAGUGAAGAAGGCCUUCGGGUUGUAAAGCUCUUUUGUCCGGAGCGAAACGGUUGUGGUGAAUAUCCACGACUACUGACGGUACCGGAAGAAUAAGCACCGGCUAACUACGUGCCAGCAGCCGCAGUAAGAC
rnacentral:rRNA from 1 species